UCAAACAAAACCAAACCAGACAACUCUAACCGGAACCAGUUUGGGCAGGCUCAAAUUUUAGGUUCUUUUGGGCAAGUAUAAACAGCCAAAGAGCUUUCCUUUUUAGGAAAAGCCAAGAGUCCAGAGGGAGUUUGGAGUGGGGCCCAGCAGCCCCGUGUUCUUGGCCAAAGCCCGGGAGAGAGGAAGUCUGCGCGUCCUCGCUGAGGCUCACAGGCUCUGGUGAGUGACGUGCGAGGAGGGGCUUUGGAACAGACACAAACUCCACAGUGCAAGCCAGGGACUUCAGGCUUCAGCUUCCGAGUCUGGCCGAGCUGCACCGCAGGCGGAGGAUCUGCGGCUAAUGUAAAUGGGUACUUCACUUCCUGUCAACCACCCCACAAGCAUCCGGAGAAUUUAAUCCAUGGCUGUUAUCAUCAGUUUCUCUGGUUUUGAUAUGAAAAUGAAGUUUAAGUAACAAAAGUCA